GCGGGAAUAGCUCAGUUGGUAGAGCACAACCUUGCCAAGGUUGGGGUCACGAGUUCGAGUCUCGUUUCCCGCU
rnacentral:tRNA from 3 species